AACUACAGGCCAAUCAGCCUCACCUCUGCCCCUGGAAAGAUGAUGGAACAGCUUGUUCCAGGCAACUAGAGGAGAUGAAAUUUAUCAGGAGUCAUCAGCAUGGGUUCACCAGGGGGAGGUUGUGCUUGACCAACCUGGUAGCCUUCUAUGAUGUCAUCACUGGCUGGGUGGAUGGGGGGAGAGCAGUGGUUGUAGUCUGCCUUGCAAGGCAUUUGAUACUGUUUCCCACAACAUCCUGGUAACGAAGCUGAGGAAGGGAUGGGAAAAUGACAUGAGCUAAGGAUAAUACCAGCUUUAGAUAUGUCAAAAUUGGAAACUCUCUCCCAGAGGAUCUGAAAUGGAUCUCUUGAAGGAUACUGCUAGUACAGAAGAUCUGAUUGUAAAGUAUGUUGGAAACUAAGUUAUGCAGGAAGAGUGAGAGGAGAGCUGGAUCAAGUGGAAACAAUAUUUUAGCACAUGACCAGAACAACCUACAUCAGCUCCCUGCCUGAGGAAAGACAGUUCAGUAAAAAUGAUGAGAACAAAAGUGAUGCUGUUGGAGACUGCACUGUUGAUGAGGCUUGUGUAACUGCAGUGUUUUGUCAGCUAAUCCAUAUCGCCAGCACUGAGACUGAGGCUGGAUCAUCACGUCAGAAAGGGAUACUGUGACCUUUCAUCAGAAAAAGACCACCAGACGACCACCGAGGAAAUACCACACAUGCGUAACAGGACUGAGACCUGGGGUCAACACUUAGUAUGUGGAGUGAGAGCAGCUUAAUCUCAGUCUUAAAAGCAUUGAAGCUUUCUCUACCUUGCACUUAAAGGCUCUUUGCGUUUCCCACCAAACCAGAGGAAGAUUUUUUCCUGGCCUUGCUGGAACAAUUUUCAAGCAGUGAAGAAUCAUUCCCUCCAGAAACAUCUCAUUUCACAGCUGAGAGAAGCACUUCUGAAAGUUACACCAUCUGUAAAAUAUUUGUACCUUAAGCUCUCUAAAAUAAAGAGUUAGCCCUACUACGUAGGGAUAAUGUAGGAGAUGCUAUUUUAUGUUUAUGUCUUGAUUGUCUUUCAUUUUUUACUUUAAUAAACAGCAAAUGUUCAG